GACGGAGGAUGCAAGCGUUAUCCGGAAUCACUGGGCGUAAAGCGUCUGUAGGUGGUCAAAUAAGUCAACUGUUAAAUCUUGAGGCUCAACCUCAAAAUCGCAGUCGAAACUAUUAGACUAGAGUAUAGUAGGGGUAAAGGGAAUUUCCAGUGGAGCGGUGAAAUGCGUAGAGAUUGGAAAGAACACCAGUGGCGAAGGCGCUUGACUGGGCUAUCACUGACACUGAGAGGCGAAAGCUAGGGUAGCAAAUGGG
rnacentral:rRNA from 1 species